rnacentral:lncRNA from 1 species
ACAAUUCUCUCUAUCUCCAAAUCCUACGGUAAAGGUUUCAAACUCGAACCUCGCAUAAACACAGAAAACAAUACCUUAGUAGCAUUGUUCAAUGCAGAACAGGGUAAAAACAAAAAUCAAAACAUGUCGCAUAAACAUAAGUUAACAGAACAAUCAAUGUUAAAAUACUAAAAAUAAAAAAUAAAAAACUAAAACAAAACAUGUCGCACAAUAUGCCUUGUUG